CUUAUACUCCCUCCGUCCCAAAUUACUCGUCGCAGAAAUGGAUGUAUCUAGAACUAAAAUGCAUCUAGAUACAUCCAUACCUGCGACAAGUAAUUCUGCACGGAGGGAGUAUCUU
rnacentral:pre_miRNA from 1 species